rnacentral:rRNA from 1 species
CCCUAAGAAUUUUUAAUAAAAAGUUAUAUUGAAAUAUGAAACUUUUUAUUUUAAUUGGGGCGAUUUAACUAAAUAUUAAAAACUUUUUUAAAAAAAAAUWUGAACCGUUAUUAACGGACACUUGGAAAAAAUACUCUAGGGAUAACAGCGUAAUAAUUUUUGAUAGUUCUUAUAGACAAAAUAGUUUGCGACCU